rnacentral:misc_RNA from 1 species
AAAGUCGUAACAAGGUAACCGUAGGUGAACCUGCGGUUGGAUCAUUAACAAAUAAUUUUAGGCCCCCUGCUGCCCCACAAAGGCAGUGGGGAACACCUAAACAUUUGUGUGCACCAUAUCUGUUUUUGGCAGCUCGAGUGUCCUGAGUUUUAACAACCAACUCAGGUACCUACCUAGGCAAACCUCCGUGCGCCAAGGUUGGGUUGCCGCCAGUUUUGAAUCAACCUUUGUUUUUUUUUACUGCCUGAAAAUGUUUAAUCUUAACAGAUUAAAUUUAAAUACAACUUUUGACAACGGAUCUCUUGGCUCUC